AGCUCUCAACACAAGCCUGAGAUGAGACUUCCUCAGGGUGACGAAAGAUCAGACCUCCGAGCCCGAGCCCUGGUGGGGGGCACCAAACCCGAGCGGCUCCAGACAAAUCUGCAGCCACGGAUGAAAAGGAUGGGUCGAUACGAUGGCAAUCGGGUACCUCCGAACGAUGCGAAGGCCGAAAAGAAGCUCGGCAAGCGACAAUUCAACACGUG
rnacentral:lncRNA from 1 species